CAAUGCUCACGUGGAUCUUACCACAUAUGUGCUCUUUCCAUAACAUUUUACAAGAGCAGGAAAUUGAGACAUAGAAAGGUUAAAUACUAUAUCUACAUUACCAUGUAGAUUUGCAAAGGAAGUGUGUUGCCAGAAUGUAAUGAUGGGCUUUGUGAGCCAGGCUGAGGAACUUGACCUUUAUCCUGAAAGUGAUGGGACCCUGAAGCAUUUUAAGCGGGAAGGUGAUCUGAUAUAAGCAGAUUUACCAUUUUAGAAACCUUAGUAUGGUAGAGGUCGAGUAGGAGAAAGAGAACAAUAAUCCAGGUCCUUCUUGCCUCGAACAAAGAAUUGGAUGAGACAAGCCAAAAAUGGUGCCAAAAGUUCAUGUGAAAGUUGAAGGAUGAAGGGGCUCCUAAAGAAAACCCUGAACUGCAAGGAUGGAUCUCCUCCAGUUUCCAUUGCUGGCAACUGACUCUGGGCUCCUGAGGAGCUUCUUAACCUCAGGGUGCCCCAGUUUCUUUAUCUUUAACAGGGACAAGAAUACCUGCCCUACUUGCUUCAUAGAGUUAUUGUGAGACAAAAAUGAAACAACAGGAUGAAUUUCAAAGUGGAAUAAAAUAUAUGGUACAGUAGGACAAUAUUAUAGAAUUCAGUUAAUUUUAAGUAUGAAAAUAUAAAUAUCCCCUUGCACAAGAAGAUAUCUUUUAAAUAUCUGUAUUCUUAUAUUAAAGUAUUCUUGCUUCUUUGUUUUUGCUUACAAAAGGAGAGAGAGAGAAAAAAAGAGAAACUCGUGUUGUAAUUUCUUUUUUGGAUGCCAAGUCAGCUAUGCACAGAUAAUCUUAGGAAAGUAGAAAUUAUUCCCAUUUUACAGAUGUGAAAACUUAGCAAAUGCCACAGGAAGAAUUUGAACUCAACUAUGCUGACUUACAUGUAUUGAGGAACUUCUCAAUUGAGUGAGCUGCCAAAUGGUCACUAUUAUAUUGCUCUCUACUUACAAGUGUGGAGCUGUUGCAGCUCAAGCACUGAUAGUCUUUCAGACCUAUGAUAAGCCCAGAACAUUUAUGCAAGAUGAUGACAGCAGCACUAAGAGUAACUGAGCAGUUUUUGAGAGAAGUCGGCCACCUGUUAGUCCACCAAGUACAAGGCCCAGAAAUUUUUCCCAGGAUGUUGGUGCCAGAUACACGAAAAUUCAACAGUCUCUAGGAUUAGUUGACUGUGACCACUUGUCACAAAAAAACAUUUUUUUGAAACCAUGUCUCUGGCCAGUGAAAAUUACUGGACUUUGUCCCAGCCCAAGAAAUCAAUAAAAACCUACUGCACUCUUUGUUCUGUGAAUGGCAGCUUCAUCAUUGUCUUGACCAAUGUUUGCUCCCUUCAGCCAAAGCCCCAGUUUCUCUGAACCCCUUUAUUCUAUCCACCAGUAAAGCUUAACCUGUACAGGAGUGUAUGUCCUUGAAAUACUUGGCCCACUCUCAUUGCUACUGUCUCUGAGUCAUAAGAUCCCAC
rnacentral:lncRNA from 1 species